rnacentral:rRNA from 1 species
CCUACGGGAGGCAGCAGUGAGGAAUAUUGGUCAAUGGCCGGAAGGCUGAACCAGCCAAGCCGCGUGAAGGACGAAGGUGCCAAGCAUUGUAAACUUCUUUUGUCAAGGGACAAAAUCAGGCUCGAGAGCCUGACCGAGGGUACUUGAAGAAACAGCAUCGGCUAACUCCGUGCCAGCAGCCGCGGUAAUACGGAGGAUGCGAGCGUUAUCCGGAUUUAUUGGGGUUAACGGGUGCGUAGGCGGACUGUUAAGUCAGCGGUAAAAGCACGGGGCUCAACCCCGGCGAGCCGUUGAAACUGGGUGUCUGGAGAUGUGGAGAGGUAUGCGGAAUGCGCAGUGUAGCGGUGAAAUGCGUAGAGAUUGCGCAGAACUCAGAUUGCGAAGGCAGCAUACCGGCGGCGAUCUGACGCUGAGGCACGAAAGCGUGGGUAUCGAACAGGAUUAGAUACCCCUGUAGUC